rnacentral:rRNA from 1 species
GAUGAACGCUGGCGGCGUGCCUAAUACAUGCAAGUCGAGCGGUAAGGCCCUUCGGGGUACACGAGCGGCGGACGGCUGAGUAACACGUAGGAACCUACCCCAAACUGAGGGAUAAGCACCAGAAAUGGUGUCUAAUACCGCAUGUGCUCUACGGAGUAAAGCUUCGGCGGUUUGGGAAGGGCCUGCGUCCGAUUAGCUAGUUGGUGGUAUAAAAGACUACCAAGGCGACGAUCGGUAGCUGGUCUGAGAGGAUGAUCAGCCAGACUGGGACUGAGACACGGCCCAGACUCCUACGGGAGGCAGCAGUAGGGAAUUUUCCACAAUGGGCGAAAGCCUGAUGGAGCAACGCCGCGUGCAGGAUGAAUGCCUUCGGGUUGUAAACUGCUUUUACCUGUGACGAAUAUGACGGUAGCAGAUGAAUUAGGACCUGCUAACUACGUGCCAGCCGCCGCCGUAA